rnacentral:lncRNA from 1 species
AUGGGCGGUCGCUAUUCAUCCCUCAGCAGUUCCCGAGAAGAAGCUAUACCGAUUUUCAGCCUGGUACCGGCCAAAAACUCAGUCCGCUCCUACGGAUCCAUUUUCAGCUACUAUCACUUUUUGCAGACCGCCCAAAGCGCUUUAUUUUCCAGCCAGAAUUUGUAUGGAAGUGAUUCGAUGGUGUCCCUCUGCUAUCGUUCUCUCACAAAUUACAUCGCGGAAGACAGACUCGACGACUUCAAGCGCUUCAUUGAAAGCAAAAGUGUCAACGUUAAUGAUCGAGAUGAGGUAUAUUGUACCAUUAAUACAUUUAUGCCUAAGUAAUACUUUGAUUCCUGAAAAUUGAGUAAAGCUUCUCACUGACUUGCAAAUUAAUUUUUAGUCGCUACACAUAUAUCCAUAAUAAUAAUCUUUGGUUUCAUAUUAUGGUCAAUCAUUGUGUCUUAAUAUCAACUAAGUUAACUUGAUAUUUUACCUACUCAGGGCCGGAUUUACCUACUUGCCGCCCAUGGGCCGCUAGUAUUUUGCCGCCCCCUUCAUCGUUUUGAAACAUCAAUGAAAACCAUCAAAUGAACGUGCCAGCGGGGAGGGGUGCAUAAGACGCGUUUACUGGUGUUGAAAACAUUUUUUGGGAAAGCCCUGUCAACACUACUGGCAAAAGUUCACGGAACUUUGCGCGAAAGUUAAGUUUCGUAAACCUAUCUCUGUGUGGACAUAGGACAAGGCCUUCGAUUCAUAAGAAAUGAACGAAAAAAUUAUGAAAGAACAAACAUAAAUGUGGAUUAAUGAUUUUAACUUCCGCCGCCGCGCCUCGCAGACCGCACUGUGUUUGACGCAAUGCGUGAAGUAUUCACGCAGUCUUGUAGGCGCUAUGCGUCUCACGCUGAUCGCAGUGUGUUUGCCGCAAUACGUGAGGUAUUUAUGCAUUCUUGUAGGCGCUAUCCGUUUCACGCUGUCCGCAAUGACCGCACUGUGUUUGAUGCAAUGCGUGAAGUAUUCGUGCAGUCUUGUAGGCGCUAAUAUGUGUUACAUGCCGAUCGCUGCGCCGAGGGCUUUUCCUUUUCAUCUCAAGUCCUCGGCAUCAUUUCUCUCUAGGUAAGUCGCGUUCCAGGCCCAAUUGCGUGUUUGGUUUCUCUCUUAACUCGACUAAUUAAAUAUGCUGCCUCUUGUAUCACUGAAAGACAACAAAAGUAGAAAUUACUAUACUCUCAGAAAAUUUGAGAUUUUGUCGCCUUUUCUCGUUUGUAAUUUUUUUUAUACCUACAUUUAAAAAAAUUGCAAAAUUUGCCGCCCCCUAUAGAUUUGCCGCCAUGGGCCGCGGCCCAUGUAGCCACCCCCUUAAUCCGGCCCUGUUAACCUACUCGCAA